ensembl:misc_RNA Metazoa_SRP Metazoan signal recognition particle RNA
GCUGGGCAUGGUGGCGCGUGCCUGUAGUCCCAGCUACUUGGGAGGCUGAGGCAGAAGAAUCGCUUGAAUCCGGGAGGUGGAAGUUUGCAGUGAGCCGAGGUCGUGCCACUGCACUCCAGCCUGGGUGACAGAGUGAGACUCUGUCUCAA